rnacentral:misc_RNA from 1 species
CAGAAGGCAACCCACUCAAGGAAAUAAGCGGUGUUGGCAGCACAAAGGCAGGAGGGGUGAUAGUAGUUUAUCUGGUAGUUCCAUCUCAAGGUUUGAUACAGUCACAUGUGGAGUUGCCUUACAGAACGGUUCUGUCUGCAUGAGAGCUCCUGUUCAUGGAAGAAAGAGAUGUGAGCAGCACAAGGGAAUGAGAGUCUCCACAUCCUUUAGUUGAGGAGUAACAUCAUAGAUUAGAGUAGUGUUGUACAUCCUAACUUGUUGAAUAAUGUUUUAGCUUGCUUUCCCUAACAUAUAUUAGGGAAUGGUGGUUGUACAUCUCUAAAUUUAUUAGAGUAGUGUUGUGCAUCCUAACUUGUUGAAUAAUGUUGUAGCUUGCUUUCCCUAACAUAUAUUAGGGAAUGGUGGUUGUACAUCUCUAAAGUUGUAGUUGCUUGGCACUGUGUCUUUGUGAUUUUGUAACUGUGGUUCUGCAAGACGCGUUUUGUCGAGUAUCAUUCCUCUUAAACCAUUUGCCUUGACUGAAAACUAGCGGCAC